rnacentral:rRNA from 1 species
UACGAAGGGGGCUAGCGUUGCUCGGAAUCACUGGGCGUAAAGGGUGCGUAGGCGGCGCGGUAAGUCGGGUGUGAAAUCUCGGAGCUUAACUCCGAAACUGCAUUCGAUACUGCCGUGCUUGAGGACUGGAGAGGAGACUGGAAUUUACGGUGUAGCGGUGAAAUGCGUAGAUAUCGUAAGGAAGACCAGUGGCGAAGGCGGGUCUCUGGACAGUUCCUGACGCUGAGGCACGAAGGCCAGGGGAGCAAACGGGG